UCAUUCCAGAGAUAGUGACGGACAGAGCGCUCACUCUGUGCUCCCACCUAUUAUUACACCAGAGCGCGCGGAGGAUGUGUCGCAACACCAUCAGAGGACUCUGAGAAGAUUGUCUAUAAUUACUAUCACUAAAGGACAUAACAAUACGUCACAUUUGUGAAAACAGCUGAGUGACAAUGCCAGAGGAGAAAGUAUUUCAGCAGCAGGCUGUCCACAGCCCUCUGGAGCAGCAGAAGCAGAAGCAAAAGCAAGGAGGAGGACCUAUCCCCUGUCAGAACUGUGGGAAGCCCUGCAAAGGGGAGGCGCUCCGGGUCCAGAACAAACACUUCCACAUCAAAUGCUUUGCCUGUAAAGUGUGUGGUACUGAACUGGCCCAGGGAGGCUUCUUUGUGCGACAGGGUGAAUACAUCUGUACUCUGGACUACCAGCGACUGUACGGGACUCGCUGCUUCAGCUGCCAGGACUUCAUCGAGGGGGAGGUGGUGUCCGCCCUGGGCAAGACCUACCACCCCCGCUGCUUCGUCUGCGCCUCCUGCAAACAGCCGUUCCCGGCCGGUGACCGAGUGACAUUUAACGGGAAGGAGUGUAUCUGCCAAAAGUGUACCCAGCCUCUCCCUGCCAACAGCCCUGCACCCAUUCAGGCUGUCCACAACUGCUGUGGCUGUGGGAAGGCGUUUAAGAAUGAACAGUCUCUUGUAGCCCUGGACAAGCACUGGCACCUGGGCUGCUUCAAGUGUAAAGUCUGCAACAAGGUGCUCAAUGCCGAGUACAUCAGCAAGGAUGGAAUCCCCUUCUGUGAGAUGGACUACCACGCCAUGUUUGGCAUCCAGUGUGAGAGCUGCAAGAAGUACAUCACUGGAAAAGUCCUGGAGGCUGGAGAGAAGCACUACCACCCCACAUGUGCCCGCUGUGCCCGCUGUGAGCAGAUGUUUGCAGAGGGAGAAGAAAUGUAUCUGCAAGGAUCUUCCAUCUGGCACCCUCCAUGCAGACAAGCAGCCAAGCAGGAGGAGAAGAGUAAGAAGCAGGUCCGGAUACAGCUCACUGACGUCCCUGAGCAACAGGUGACCCGGACUUCAUCUGAGAGCAUCACUUCAGUCCCAGCCUCCAGCGCCUCGGGCUCCCCCAGCAGAGUCAUCUAUGCCAAACUAGGAGAGGAGAUGCUGGACUACAAAGACCUGGCAGCCCUUCCAAAGACCAAGGCCAUCUAUAACAUAGACAGGCCUGACAUGCUGUCCUACUCUCCAUACGUCAGCUACCCGUCUGAGGAGAGGCACUACGGAGAGUCCCCCCAGCUGCUUUCUCCUACUCCUACUGAGGGUGACGGGGAGAAGUCACCCCGUCAGCGGAGGCCCUCCAGCCCCAGCUCCAACAGCUCCCUGGGGGGCUAUGGACGCUACACCCCGUCCCGGUCCCCUCAGAAUUACAGCCGACCAGGGCCAGAGGUAUACCUUGGUGGUAGACACAGCAGCCAGGCCCGUGACUCCAGUUCUCUCCCUUUGCCACCAACCCCCAUGGGUACCAUUAAGUACCCCUCCACCUGGGCCAGGGACUCAUCUUCCCUCCCCAUGUACUCUGGUGGGGCUGAAGGGAGUGGUGGUGUUGGUGGUUGUGGCAAGUACUCACCCACACCAGCAGGUGGCAGUGCAGGCUUGUCUUUUCACCUAAACCCCACCACCCUGGCCAUGCUGCAGCAGCACAACUACAUCCCUUACUUCAGAGGUAGUGAAAGUGGUCGGAGUACCCCCAGCUUAUCCACCUAUUCUGAUGGCAAAUCCCCCUCCUCCACUUCUACAUACAUGGCUGCUCCCCGGCAUUUCCACAUACCAGAGACUAUGGUCAAAGAUAAUAUCUAUAGAAAACCCCCCAUCUACAGACAGCAUGCUUCUAGAACAUCCUGGCAGGAUGGGGAGGAUAGCAAGAGGACCAGUUGGAUGAUCUUAAAGAGUGAAAUAGAUGGACACAUGGGUCCAGAAGACCUGGAUCCCCGCAAGUCCACCUGCAGUCUCCCCACUGACACCUCCCAGCCUAAUUUCCCCUACAAUAAGUCUGCUUCCUUACCCGGAUAUGGACGGAACGGCAUCUACAAGGCUGCUGAGAUGGUGGAAGAUGAAGUGGACCCAGACUCCCAGAGCUGGGGAGGCAUGAGAGGUUAAUUCUCUCUUUCUCUCUCUCUUUCCCUCCCUCCCAGAAUACAAGAUCUACCCUUAUGAAAUUCUGGCAGUGACGCAUAGAGUGAAAGUGAAGCUUCCCAGAGACGUAGAUCGCACCAGACUGGAGAGACACCUCUCUCCUGAGGACUUCCAGAAGGUUUUCGGCAUGACCCUGGAGCAGUUUGACCGCCUGGCCCUCUGGAAGAAGAACGACAUGAAGAAGGCGGCCCGCCUUUUUUAGACAGCAAAAAAGAAAAAGCAACAUCUCAACAAGCAUCCAUCCUGUCUGGGAGGAAGCAGAAAAGAAAACCAACCCAUCUGAAAUAUCUAUAUAUGCACCGCCAUGAUACCCUUACUUUCCACCUGUAAACCGCCAUGCCAUCUGCCUGUGACGCCACGGGAAGGCGCUCCGUGCAGGAACAUUUUCACGAUGUUGAGGCAGCAUCUAUAGCUUUUUGUAUGCAAUGUGGCCCGAAUGUUUGACUGACAACCUUACAGACGAGGGCGAGGAGCUGCGUUUGCAUGGCCUGUGUUGAUGCUCCUCGCCUCCCAUGUGGUUUCUGCAUCCUCCCCCACUCCCUCCCGUCUCACUGCUUUCAUACACCCCGGCAAAAAUAACAGCUUUUUCUAAUUCUCGUGCAGGCCUCCCUCCAGGUUUCUGCGGUUCUGACUGUUUUAUGUGCGCCUUCUUCUACUCUGUCAGUCUUGACUUAUCUCCCCGUUUCUAUCUCCAGUUCUUCAUCAGCAGCUAGUUUGUCUUUUCACUUUGCAAGGGUUUAUCAUCUUAUCUGCCUCGACAUAUCAUUUGUUUGCUGCUCUGCCUUUUCUCUCGCUGUCACUCCAUCAUUUUAAGGUUUUCUUCCAUGCGCUAAGUGACUGUUACAUUGCCAAGCCAGUUCAUUUUUACACCUUUGCCAUUACUUUAGGACAGUGAAGAGACUGCAGACUGUCAUGGCCAAAGACAGAUAUAAGAGACAGCACCAUGCGUCUACGAUCUUUUACUCAAAAAGCACCUUAUCAUAUGCUUUUGUUUUCAAUUUUCCUUCAUGCUCUUUGCAAUCAGAGAAGUUAGGAAAGACUGACUGGCGUAGUUUUGAUAUGCGUGCCCUGAUAUGUUUGAAUGCGGUCCCAUAUCUUACACAAGCAUCUCAUAAAUCAGCAUGGAUAGGAGAGCCAGGGCUGGAUAGGGGCCACAACAUGGCAGUGAAUCACAGAUAGAGGGGUGGGUAAACAAGGAGGAGGCCCUGCAGAGAGCAUAAAGUUUCAGGGUGUGCAGUGGUGUCAAACAUGCAGCAUUGUCAGAGUGACCUACACUCACAUCAAAAAACAAACAAAAGAAAUUAUUUUUAUAAGCUAUUUUUGACUUCUGGAAAGGAUCAUUAAAGCAAUCAUGCAGCUGAGAGAAAUCAUGAUUUUGUUACCAGGGAAAAAAAAAAAGCCCAUGCUGACUAUGUUAAGCUUCACAGACCUGCAGCAGCACUUAAGCAUAACAAGUGGGGUCUUGCUUGAUUUAAAACCCAAUACUCUAACUGUGUUAUAUCCUCUCAGAUAGAGAUUUAACUCUUUAUAUGUUUGUUGUUUGAGAGCAUUGUUGCGUACAGUAAAAGCUCCACAUUUAAGCUGAAGUCCGUCGGCUUUGCUUGAUGAUUUCUGGACCGAUCAACUUGCCAACUAACAUACCGUAAGAUGUAUGUGAACAUAUACUGGACAUAUACCAGAUAUAUUUGUCUGUAUACAAGCCAUGGUGUAUAACUCUUCAGGCAUGCAUGAGGGUGGGGGGAAUGGUUCGUCCACUGACCUCAGAAUAGAAGUGUAUGAAAACAUUAUCAUCAAUGUGGUUUGAGUGAUUGAUUAUUUUCUGGUUAAAUCGUGUCAAAUGAAAUGCCCGGGUCAGCUGCUUACAUUAGCUUGUGUUAGGUAUUUAUUUAAUUGCAAUAUUAAGGAAGGGAUUUUAUUUUGAAACCUUAAAGGUGUAGUGUUGAAUGAAUAGUGUCACCAAGAUGAGAGAGAGCUUUUUGAAGAGAAACAUAUCAAAUUUUGAGUUUAAUCUGAGUGUCAAAUGAAUUUUGCUCCUGUAAGUAACACACUAACUGUUGUCAUAAAGCGUCAUGUCCUCUUUCUAAUAUUCAUCUGCUAUUAAAGUGCUUUAUCCAAA